CCCUAUUAUUUAGAAUGUUAAGGUUUGUGCCUGAGUAGUAUUAGUUAUGUUCUUGAAACUUAAAGAAUUUGGCGGUAUCUCAUUCCGUUCAGAGGAAUCUGUCUCGUUAUCGAUAGUCCACGUUGGACCUUACUUAGUUGAAAUUUGGUUUGUAUACCGCCGUUUAUUGAUUAUCUUUUUAGAGUUUGUAUUAAAUUUUCUGGUUUCUUUAUUUUGAUGUAUUUCAGGUCAAGGUGCAGCUUGUUUCUAAGUGGAAAUGAUGGAUUACAUUGUUAUUUGUUUUUUGGAUUGUUGAUUUUAAUAUUGACAUGAAAUUGGAUUUGGUUGUAAUGAUUUAUAGAUUGUUAUUAUGAUAAUUGGUUCUGGGAUAUGCACACAUCGCCCGUCGCUCUCGUUUACUUUUAUAAUGAGAUAAGUC
rnacentral:rRNA from 1 species